CUAGGUUUUGGGAGCCAGGAAACACUCUUGUCUUUCCUGCCACCCUGAAAAGGGCACCAGUAAUCUGUGAGAGUUACCUGUCUGAACCUCCUGAGGCUUUGCAAUGAGCAUGCACCAAAGAACAAAGGAGGGACUGAAAGUCUGGAUCAUCUCAGGAAAUGUAUAUUCAUUCCAAUCAGACUACUUUUUGCCUUACAUGGGCAUAGGCAAAUCUGGGGGACCCUGGACCUGUUGGAGCUGGACUCUGGCACCCACUGUUUCAAGAACAUUGAUUAAAGCCUUGCUUUACUGUGCUCAGAGUCUCCACAUCCCUCCUUUGAUGGUUUACCUCUCGACUCAGGCAAAUGAAACCAGAAAAUACUCUUAGGUGAUGGUAACUUCCCUGACAAGACCUCCUGCUGACCCAGACCACCCAGACCUUUUGAGCUGAACCCCUGACUCAUGCCUGCACAGAUGGAGUAUGAAGUAACCUCUGGAAUGAUCUAACAUUACCUUUACCUCAUUAUUAUACUAAAAUCUCUGUUCAAGGAGAAGCCUCAGCCUCAUUUGUGGUAGAGCUCCUCCCUAAAAAAUGUGGUGGAAAUCCUCAAGACAAGGGAAGGCAAUCUGGCUAUGUGUGUGCCCAAGAUUACUCAUGACUCUGUAACAUAGACUUUCCAUUCAGAAUGAAUGUUACCAUAUAUAGGAGACAAAAGUGAAAAAUUGCAUAAAAGGGAACCUCACCCCCCCAACCCCACUGCACUCGGAGCUCACCCUUUUCAGUCUUAGCCCACUGAGCCUGUGCCAACACGAAUAAAGUGACUUCUUCGAA